rnacentral:rRNA from 1 species
GAGUUUGAUUCUGGCUCAGAUUGAACGCUGGCGGGAUGCUUACACAUGCAAGUCGAACGGCAGCACGGACUUCGGUCUGGUGGCGAGUGGCGAACGGGUGAGUAAUGUAUCGGAACGUGCUCAGUAGCGUAUACCCGCGCGAAAGCGUAGCUAAUACCGCAUAUUGCCCUUCGGGGAAAGCGGGGACCUUCGGGCCUCGCACUAUUAGAGCGCCGAUAUCGGAUUAGCUAGUUGGUGGGGUAACGGCUCACCAAGGCGACGAUCCGUAGCUGGUUUGAGAGGACGACCAGCCACACUGGGACUGGAGACACGGCCCAGACUCCCACGGGAGGCAGCAGUGGGGAAUUUUGACAAUGGGCAAACCCUGAUCCAGCCAUCUCCGCGUGUGCGAUGAAGGCCUCGGGUUGUAAAGCACUUUUGCAGAAAGAAACGGCACGGGAUAAUACCCCGUGCAAAAUCUGACGGUGCCCGCGAAGAAUACACCGGCUAACCACGUACAGCAGCCGCGGUACUACGUAGGUGUGUAAGCGUUAAUCGGAAUUACUGGGCGUAAAGCGUGCGCAGGCGGUUCGGAAAGAAAGAUGUGAAAUCCCAGAGCUUAACUUUGGAACUGCAUUUUUAACUACCGAGCUAGAGUGUGUCAGAGGGAGGUGGAAUUCCGCGUGUAGCAGUGAAAUGCGUAGAUAUGCGGAGGAAACACCGGAUGGCGAAGGGCAGCCUCCUGGGAUAACACUGACGCUCGGCGGUACGAAAGCGUGGGAGCAACAGGAUUAGAUACCCUGGUAGUCCACGCCCUAAACGAUGUCAACUAGCUGUUGGGGCCUUCGGGCCUUGGUAAAGCGCAGCUAACGCGUGAAGUUGACCGCCUUGGGGAGUACGGCUGCAGAUUAAAACUCAAAGGAAUUGACGUGGGGACCUCCGCACAUGGAUGAUGUGGAUUAAUUCGGAUGCAACGCGAAAACCUUACCUACCCUUGACAUGUCUGGAAUCCCUGAAGAGAUUUUGGGAGUGCUCGCAAGAGAACCGGAACACAGGCGCUGCAUGGCUGUCGUCAGCUCGCCGUGAGAUGCUGGGUUAAGUCCUGCAACGAGCGCAACCCUUGUCAUUAGUUGCUACGAAAGGCGACCUCGACGAGAAUUGCCGCAGACAAAACCGAGGCAGCGUGCGGGAUGACGUCAAGUCCUCAUGGCCCUUAUGGGUAGGGCUUCACACGUCAAGUACAAUGGUCGGGACAGAGGGUCGCCAACCCGCGAGGGGGAGCCAAUCCUGUGAAACCCGAUCUUAGUCCGGAUCGCAGUCUGCAACUCGGACUGGUGUGAAGUCGGAAUCAAGCAGUAAUCGCGGAUCAGUGUCGCGGUGAAUACGUUCCCUGGCCUCAGACACACCGCCUGUCACACCAUGGGAGUGGGUUUUACCAGAAGUAGUUAGCCUAACCGUAAGGAGGGCGAUUACCACGGUAGGAUUCGGCGACUGGGGUGAAGUCGUAACAAGGUAA